rnacentral:rRNA from 1 species
GGCGGCGUGCCUCAGACAUGCAAGUCGAACGCGAAAGUCCCCUUCGGGGGAUAAGUAGAGUGGCGCACGGGUGAGUAACACGUAGGUAAUCUACCUUCGGGUGGGGAAUAACCCAGGGAAACUUGGGCUAACACCGCAUAAUGCAGCGGCACCACAUGGUGACAGUUGUUAAAGCGGGGGAUCUUAGGACCUCGCGCCUGAAGAGGAGCCUGCGGCGGAUUAGCUAGUUGGUGAGGUAACGGCUCACCAAGGUGACGAUCCGUAGCCGGCCUGAGAGGGCGGUCGGCCACACUGACACUGACAUACGGGUCAGACUCCUACGGGAGGCAGCAGUCGGGAAUUUUGGGCAAUGGGCGAAAGCCUGACCCAGCAACGCCGCGUGAAGGAUGAAAUCCCUCGGGAUGUAAACUUCGCAAGAAUGGGAAGAAUUAGUAGGGGUCAAUACCCCCUAUGAUGACGGUACCAUUUGUAAGCUCCGGCUAACUCCGUGCCAGCAGCCGCGGUAAUACGGGGGGAGCAAGCGUUGUUCGGAUUUACUGGGCGUAAAGGGCGCGUA